UAAAUGGAAGCCAAAAAGAGGCAUCUAACUGUUAAUUAGAAGACUGUGAAAAUAUAUAUCACCCGUUUAGC
rnacentral:tRNA from 1 species